rnacentral:rRNA from 1 species
AUGCUCGUACUUUCUGUAUGGAGCUGGGAGCGCUUGCCGGCCGGACGCCUGAAGGACAUAACGUACAGGGCUUGGGAUGACCACGGCGAUGAACUACGGCUCCCCACCUGGGCUUAGAAGUGGGAUGUGGUAACCGAGAAGACUAGCGAUGUCACUAUGAUGUAUAGGCAGUACACCAACGAGUUGGACACGAUUACUGCUGAGCAGGUAAGCAUUCACACUGCUUCACUCAUUCUCAUGCUUUCAUGA